ACAUGCAAGUCGAACGAAGUAGCAAUACUUAGUGGCAGACGGGUGAGUAACAUGUGGGUAUCUGCCCUUUGGCCUGGAAUAACACGAGGAAACUUGUGCUAAUACCAGAUAAGUCUUUACGGAGAAAGCUUUAUGCACCAUUGGAUGAGCCCGCACUUGAUUAGUUUGUUGGUGGGGUAAUGGCCUACCAAGACUUUGAUCAAUAGCUGAUUUGAGAGGAUGAUCAGCCACAUUGGGACUGAGACACGGCCCAAACUCCUACGGGAGGCAGCAGUGGGGAAUCUUGCACAAUGGAGGAAACUCUGAUGCAGCGAUGCCGCGUGAGUGAAGAAGGCCCUUGGGUUGUAAAGCUCUUUCGUCGGGGAAGAAAAUGACUGUACCCGAAUAAGAAGGUCCGGCUAACUUCGUGCCAGCAGCCGCGGUAAUACGAAGGGACCUAGCGUAGUUCGGAAUUACUGGGCUUAAAGAGUUCGUAGGUGGUUGAAAAAGUUGGUGGUGAAAUCCCAGAGCUUAACUCUGGAACUGCCAUCAAAACUUUUCAGCUAGAGUUUGAUAGAGGAAAGCAGAAUUUCUAGUGUAGAGGUGAAAUUCGUAGAUAUUAGAAAGAAUACCAAUUGCGAAGGCAGCUUUCUGGAUCAUUACUGACACUGAGGAACGAAAGCAUGGGUAGCGAAGAGGAUUAGAUACCCUCGUAGUCCAUGCCGUAAACGAUGUGUGUUAGACGUUGGAAAUUUUUUUUCAGUGUCGCAGCGAAAGCGAUAAACACACCGCCUGGGGAGUACGAC
rnacentral:rRNA from 1 species